CUUCCAGGGGACAAGACAUUAACCAGUGUCACAAACGACUGUUACUUUGGACAGUUGUCUUGAUUCUGGUUACUAUUGACUUGAAAGGAUACUUGGAUUUACUGUUAAUGAUGUUGUAAACCGUUACCUCUUCACUGGACAGCGAGGGGAAAUUCGAACGAGUCAUGGCGAGAACAGCUGACAUCAUAGAUAGGCUAGUACUUGGAUAUGAAUAUGACGGCCAACGGAAAUGGCAGGCCUGCAGAUUGAUCAAAUUGGUCACAGUAUAUGAGACACUUCCACCCUAUAGAAGACAAAGCAGCUGGCCAUUGACUAAUCUUCUCGUACAAGAGAACAUUGCCUGUAAUUUCUGGUGCAAAAAGAGCUUGAAUUCUUCAUGAAUACAAUGUAAGGAUUGCCAGGAAAGAGGAAAGGGAACUCAGUCAAAAAGUACAAGAUGUUGACUACGAAAAGCUGUCCAGAGAAGGAUUUCAAUGAAAUGGGAUAUGAAUGGUUGUGAGGAGUGCCUGGAAAGUGCUGACCAAAGUCAUUUAGGAAAGGAAUUAAGGAGUAUUUCUCAUGCGUUCUUUGUUUCAUACAAGCUGCAACAAGCUAGUUCGCAUCAGGUUAGUUAGAAAAUGCAG